AUGUGGGAUCUUAGCUCCCCGACCAGGGAUCAAACCCGAACUCCCUGCAUUGGAAGGUGUAGUCUUAACCACUGGACCGCCAGGGAAGCCCUGAACUGACAUCCUGUAUAAGAAUUCGUCUAUUGUCUUUCUGGAAAUGCUCUAGAACACACUCCAAGCUACUUGAGGGCAGGGACUUUGUUUUACUCGUGACUAUAUGCCCAGUUCCUAAAACAGGGAUUGGCACAGAUUGAACACUCAAUAAGUAUGUGUUAAUUGAGUGGAAUAAAUGAAUGAAUAAAUAUAACAUAUACUGAGUAUUUAUCGGAAACACUGAAGUUCUAAGCACUUGCAGUGACUAAUAUAAUCUUCACGACAACUCCGUGGAGGGGCACUAUUAUUAUCCCAAUGUUUAAUUAUCUUGCCAAGGUCUUGCAGCUUAGAAGAGCUGUAUUCAGGAUCAGAACCAGGCAACGGGAUUCAUACCAUUGCCUGGUAUGGAUAGAGCUGGUCCUCCAUCCGAGCGAGUUAGCCCUACCCUUCCUCCUUUCCCCUUUCUGCUGUCUCGUAGAAUACAUGUCCAGUAAUCACAUCAUUGCAUGCUCCAGAUAUUUUGUUUUAUCGCUUCAGACCAAAAGGCGAGAGCUCAGCUGAGUUCCAACUCCUGCCCUUUCUUCCCACUUUCUCAAUAUUAUUACCUUAGAACCUGAUCAACUCACACAACUUUUUUUUUUUUCUCUAACACUGCCAUUGACAGAUGCAGAUGCAGAGGCUAUUAUGGUUUAUGGUGCUCUUUUGCAUGCAUUAUCUCAUUUGAUUAGCCCAGUAGCCUUGGGAUAUGGGCCAUACAAGGAUGGCCACCUGCAGUUUAUAGAUGAGGAAACAGAGGCUCAGAGAGGUUACAUAAAGCUAUUUGGAAGCAGAACUUUUAGUUCUAAGUCCCACGUUUGCUCUAUUUUGCUCUUUCUUUUUCCUUGUUGGGGCCCGGAGGGUAGAAGUUAAUCCCGAAGCAUUUCUGCCCUCCACAUUUAUUGAAAGUCACUCGGAACAUUGAUGAGGGUCAAAGGACUUGAGCCAUUUUCCACCGGUCACACAUUUAGAAAGAAGAGGGAACAGAUGAAAUGGAUUCUUGUAAAGUGGAAUUACUCUUCUCAUCAAACAUUCUGUACUACUCUAUGAUCCAAAGAAAUGCCCAGAUUCUUCUAGAAUGGGCCCACUAGGGAUGCCUGGAUUGAAUUAAAGCAGCUGAUUCUCAAGCCAAGUGGCCGGAAUUUGGACAACUCUACUGGCUCAACCUCUGUGCUGUAUGGAAGAAACCAAGAUGAUGACACUUUCCCAAGGCUGGGGCUGGCCUGGUGCAGACACAGAUGAGCCAUUCACCUGGGGAGCCCCAUGUUGAAGAUGAUGGAGCCAUGAGAUGGAGGAGCCUCUUUCCUGGAAUCAGGAAGAGGACCACGGCUGAUCAAUGCCCCCCAUUUUGGCUUUUACAUUUGUGAAGAUUUCUACUGUUUGGGACAAUACACAUUUUUGAAAUUUGUUUAUAAUAGCGGAUAAUGAUACUUUAAUUAAUGUUAUCACUUAUUAAUAAAAGGAAGAUGGAAACCUAAAUUUCAAUUAACUCAUGUUUAUGAUGAGUUGAUGUCCAGGGGAUUAAAAUUUUCUUCCAAUCACUGCCUAGAGUUGUCUCUCAGAUUGUAGAGUCAGUCAGUGCCCAUGCAGGGGAAGAGAUGGAGGUUCAGUAAGGUGGGAUCAAGGGCUUCCAAAGUUCUUAUGGACUUUCCUAAGCCAUUCCCCAGCCAGAGAACUAAUGCCUGGAAUGGAAAGGAAUGAAUAUCACCUCUGUUUUUGACCUUUAUCUCUGUCAAAAUGUAAAUCCUCCAUAUCGCGUUAAGCUCUUAUUUAUUAUUUAAACUGUUGUGUACAAGAAGGGUCUAAAGAACAGACAAAACUAAUACUGGCCUCUAGAUAACAUCCAUGAAGUGCAUUGAGAUCCUGGAUAAAAUUCAGUGUCUUGUUUCUGAAUUAAAAAUAAAAAAGUAUUCUGAAAAAAAGGACUGCCUUUAAGUAGAGAAUUGUAAGGUAGGAGGCACAAUUCUUCUCCUUCCCAUUGACUGCACACUGUGUUCUCUAGGUGCAUCAGCAGUGUUAAAGGGAUAAAUCAUCCCUUUGGCAUUUGGGAGUACAGUUUUGGGGAUUUGAGUCAAUAAUGUAGUCAGCUACCAAUUUCUGUCUUUUAGUGUAGGGGUUUGGUUGGGGUAGGUAGAAGGCAAGGAUCCAGGGAUUUAGGAAAGAGAAAUAGACCUUGCCUUAUUUCUUUGAACACAAGAACUCAGGAGAGCAAUGAAUGACAUCCUAAAUGCACAAUGGAGAUUCUUCUGCAACAGAUUGUUGCUAAGUAGCUCUCUGGGUUUUUUUGUUGUUGUUGUUUUUUUUGUUUUGUUCUGUUGUGUCUGGGCUGAUGAGGUGCUUUCUGCCCUGGGUGAGUUACUUCUUUCAUCUUUGUGGAUUGAUUCUCUUGUAGCUCCUAAAACAUUCAUGCCUUUCAUAAAUAUUUUUUGACUGGAGGUUGUAUGUAUUUAACUGGGGCUCAUAUAUAUGCCUUUAAGUUUCUUUUUCUUCAGUGUUCUGAUUCUUCUUGAUAUUUUUGAUUUCCCAUCACCCUUCUGAGCCGCUAAGUUAAAGUAAGUUUGCAUAUAUACUCAUAUAUUUCAUAGAUGUACUUCUUUAUCAGAAGGAGCCCUGAGCUGGAGUUAGGAGGCCUUGAUUCAACUCAUUGCCACUAACUACACUUGUGACGGGUCAGGGUAAUUCCCCAUCUACAUGAUGAGAGUUGCAAAAGUGUGGGAGACUGUGUUCUCCAUGAAAUGCCUGCACAGUGCCCAAGAAAUGGGGGUCCAUUUUCUAUAGCAUGUCUUCCAGGUACAACAUGCUAUGAUCAAGGGAUGUAACCUGUCCCUUAUUGCACCUCAUUCCUGAAUCCUUUUUCUCCAUUCUCUUCUCCAUUUUUUUCUCCUUCCUCUUUCUCUUGCUGUCUUGGAGAGAUCACUCAGUGGUGGAGCCAGGAUGAUCGAUAUGCCAGGGCAGCUGAGCAGUCAGCUCAUUAGGAAUUGCCCAGAUUGUGGACCAUUCAUUACAUCACUAGACAUCUAUUGAGUAUCUAAAAUUUGCCAGGUACUACGCUAAGUAGGUGCUUUUUAAACCUAAUUUUUGCCGUGCUAUUUUCCUUAUCAUACAAAAAGCACAGGUAUAUCGAGUCUUUUGUGAAAAUACCAAAAAAGAGAUAAUAAGAAGAAAUCAUUUAUAGUCCCACUUUCUAGAGUUUACCACUAUUAAUCGUUGAAUGUAUAUUUUUUCUACGGUUUUUACUAUGUAAGAAUACAGUUUUAAAAAGGGAGAGAAUAUGAAAUUACAUUGUACAUCUUGUUUUAUAACCUGAUUUUUCACAUUAAUAAUCCAUUGACUUCAUUUCACUUCCUCUUUACUUCUAGCUGUUGGAUUGGAAGAGGUGAUCUUUCCUGUGUGUGAUGUAAAUUCGUUGCAGGAUGUACAUAGCAGAAAAACACUACCACUACAAGAGUCCACUCCAAUGGACUGUAAACUCCAAUUUGGCAAAAAGGAGAUGAAGGCAUAGAUGAUGUCCGAAAAGGCCCUUACUAUAAAUGAUUUCCUGGAAACACCGUGGUCAACUCAAAAUCUUUUUGUGAGUGAGAAGAAAAUUACAAGACUGAGCAGAUUCAAGAGUGAAACUCAUCUGUGUCAAUGUGUGUUGGCCCAAGUAGGACACACAUGCAAACAUACUGCCCUUUUACUAACAGAUCAUUGUUUCAGAUGCAAAAUAAACAGCUGAAGGGUCUCUCAAAUGUUUUUCCUAAAUAAGAUAGGAAAUAGCCUGCUCAUACAAAAUACUCUAAUCCAGUCCUGAUCUAGCACACAUUAUUAUUAUUAUUUACAAUUAAUGUGCCAUGUACUGUGAAUUAUUUAACCAUGAUUUUAUUUUAAAAGUUCUGUACAGCAGAAAGUCAAGUUCAUAAAGAUGAAAGGAUUUACCCCAAAUCAAAUAGCUAGUAAAUAACCGGUCCAGGAGGCAAACUAAAGCUGCCUGACUUUAAAUCUGGAGUUCUAAGACUACCACAUGCUGCUGCCUCUCCCGUGUGAAAAGGACACAAACUAUAUUGAAUGAAUAAAUGAAUCAACUUAGAGUAUGGAUCUUAAUAAAUGUUAAUUGACUGGGAACCACAAUUCUCUCAGCAAAUUUGAUUCUCCACACCAAAUGAGAUCGUAAAUUACAUGUAAUGAACUUACUGGCCAAACUACAUUUCCAAGCGUUUGAGACCAGCUGAGGUCUCGGGACAGCCAUGAGAGUGAGGGGCAGACCAUUGGAGGCAAUGCUCUCUCAGCAUUGCCUCUGAGUUUUCAUCACGGCGUCAAGCCGGGGAGCCCUCCUUCCCAAUCAUUGCUGUCCAGCACUCAGCUGAAGCCAAGACACCAGGAUUUGGUACAGCACCGCUGCUUGGGGCGUCUUGACUCUGUAUCUCUGGACCCAUUUACUUAACUUAAAAAUGCGAAGAUUGGUUCAAAGAUGGCAGAAUAGGGGUUUUCUGAGAUUCUUUGCCUUUUCCUGACUCCCAAUGUAAACAACAAAGAAA